ACUCCUACGGGAGGCAGCAGUAGGGAAUCUUCCACAAUGGGCGCAAGCCUGAUGGAGCAACACCGCGUGAGUGAAGAAGGGUUUCGGCUCGUAAAGCUCUGUUGUUAAAAGAAGAACACGUAUGAGAGUAACUGUUCAUACGUUGACGGUAUUUAACCAGAAAGUCACGGCUAACUACGUGCCAGCAGCCGCGGUAAUACGUAGGUGGCAAGCGUUAUCCGGAUUUAUUGGGCGUAAAGAGAGUGCAGGCGGUUUUCUAAGUCUGAUGUGAAAGCCUUCGGCUUAACCGGAGAAGUGCAUCGGAAACUGGAUAACUUGAGUGCAGAAGAGGGUAGUGGAACUCCAUGUGUAGCGGUGGAAUGCGUAGAUAUAUGGAAGAACACCAGUGGCGAAGGCGGCUACCUGGUCUGCAAACUGACGCUGAGACUCGAAAGCAUGGGUAGCGAACAGGAUUAGAUACCCUGGUAGGAUAGCG
rnacentral:rRNA from 1 species